AAGUAGGACCAAACCGAGAGUUAGCAGCAUAGACAAGGAUGGAUUUCUGAAUGAGAAAUAAAAGUUGCCUAUCUUCAUAAGAAUUAAUGGGUGAAUGGAAAAUUGCUCAAGUGGGCUCAUUCGGGUUGCCAUUCAACUCUUUGAUUCAAAAUUGUUCUGUUUCCUUUUUGGGACUCUAUUUCAUUUCGCAGGUCACAAUCUGUUCUUCGAUCGCAAGAGGAGCUGAUUGAGAUUGUUUGAGCAACUUGCGUAAUUGUUGACCUCUUUCCAAUUGAUUCUGAAUAGCUUUAUGGCUUUCGAACAGCCAAGGCAAAGGGCUAAGGGUGAGGGCAGCUAUAGCUGUACCAAGGGAGGAGGACAGUCUAUUCGCUUUGGUCUGUCGAGGAUCAAAGAGCUAGCCCGAUGUCGAAGGUUCCUUUUAUCUCAACCCUACGUACUAGGCCCCUUUAGUCGUCUAUUUCGGAUACAGAAUUGGUGAUUCUAGACAUUUCAUUUUUCUUCUUCUCUAGUGCGGGUCCGAGUUGUUUUUAUGAGUUUCAAUGGAUCUGUAAGAUCCUCACAGCUCUCGAAGGCAAAAUACCAGUAAGACGGAUACCCAGCCUAACAGGACGACGAGAAGGCAG
rnacentral:lncRNA from 1 species